AGAGAAGGCCAUAAUGUCCAAGAAUCCAGAGGGGGAAAAAUGCACGAACACCAGCCUGACUCUAAAGUCUUGGACACACCCAAGAGGAAGGAAAACAGUUGAGCUCCUCCAUGAAAAAGAAGGACUUGCAGUCUUCCUCACUGCACUGAUAACUUUUGGAUUCCAAGCAGCCCCCUGGAAUCCAUGGCAGCAGUAAAAUCUGCCAGUCACGGGAAAUUAUGUGAAUGAUUCUGUGGAGGCUCACCCAAGAUUGCCAGACUCAUUUUCAUGCAUGGCUAAAUGCAGAAUUGAACCUCGUGC